UGUACGGAGAGUUUGAUCCUGGCUCAGGACAAACGCUGGCGGGGUGCAUGAGACAUGCAAGUCGAACGAGGUGCCAUCGGGCUUGCUCGAUGGUUACCUAGUGGCGGACGGCUGAGUAACGCGUAGGUGACCUACCCGGAAGUGGGGAAUAACUGCCCGAAAGGGUGGCUAAUACCGCAUGUGGUCGGCGAUUCGAUUCGCCGUCUAAAGGAGCAAUUCGCUUCCGGAGGGGCCUGCGUCCGAUUAGCUAGUUGGUGGGGUAACGGCUCACCAAGGCGACGAUCGGUAGCUGGUCUGAGAGGAUGAUCAGCCAGACUGGGACUGAGAACGGCCCAGACUCCUACGGGAGGCAGCAGUCGGGAAUUUUGCCCAAUGGACGAAAGUCUGAGGC
rnacentral:rRNA from 1 species